rnacentral:ribozyme from 1 species
CUUUUUGUUUUUUCAUUUUCAUUUUUGAUACAUACUUUUGUAACUGUAAGAAUAUAUAUAUCGAUAUAUAUCUUUACGCCGCCACCUCAUGACAUUAUAUUUUAAAAAACAAAAAAAA